UGUGAGUGUAUGUGUGUGUGUGUGUGUGUGUACGCAUAUAUAUAUAUAUAUAUUUAUAUAUAUAUAUACACACACACACACACACACACACAUACACACACACA